rnacentral:rRNA from 1 species
UACAGAGGUGGCAAGCGUUGUUCGGAAUUACUGGGCGUAAAGGGCGCGUAGGCGGUCCUGUAAGUCCUGUGUGAAAUCCCUCGGCUCAACUGAGGAACUGCACGGGAUACUGCGAGACUUGAGUUCGGGAGAGGGAAGCGGAAUUCCACGUGUAGCAGUGAAAUGCGUAGAGAUGUGGAGGAACACCGAUGGCGAAGGCAGCCCCCUGGGCUGAGAUUGACGCUCAGGCACGAAAGCGUGGGGAGCAAACAGG